UACGUAGGGGGCAAGCGUUGUCCGGAAUCAUUGGGCGUAAAGAGCGCGUAGGCGGUCCGAUAAGUCGGCUGUGAAAGUCAGGGGCUCAACCCUUGAAAGCCGGCCGAUACUGUCGGACUAGAGUUCGGAAGAGGCGAGUGGAAUUCCCGAUGUAGCGGUGAAAUGCGUAGAUAUCGGGAGGAACACCAAUGGCGAAGGCAGUCUUCUGGGCCAAUACUGACGCUGAGGAGCGAAAGCGUGGGGAGCGAACAGG
rnacentral:rRNA from 1 species